rnacentral:rRNA from 1 species
GAUGAACGCUGGCGGCGUGCCUAACACAUGCAAGUCGAGCGAAGCACUUUGCUUGGAUUCUUCGGAUGAAGAGGAUUGUGACUGAGCGGCGACGGGUGAGUAACGCGUGGGUAACCUGCCUCAUACAGGGGGAUAACAGUUAGAAAUGACUGCUAAUACCGCAUAAGACCACAGCACCGCAUGGUGCAGGGGUAAAAACUCCGGUGGUAUGAGAUGGACCCGCGUCUGAUUAGCCAGUUGGCGGGGUAACGGCCCACCAAAGCGACGAUCAGUAGCCGGCCUGAGAGGGCGACCGGCCACAUUGGGACUGAGACACGGCCCAA